UGCCCGAGGGAGGGAGGGAGGGAAAGUCUUUCCCUCCCUCCCUCCCUCGGGCAGUUUAAGUAAU